UACGUAGGGGGCUAGCGUUGUCCGGAAUUAUUGGGCGUAAAGGGCUCGUAGGCGGUUUGUCGCGUCGGGAGUGAAAACCCAGGGCUUAACCCUGGGCUGGCUUUCGAUACGGGCAGACUAGAGGUAUGCAGGGGAGAACGGAAUUCCUGGUGUAGCGGUGAAAUGCGCAGAUAUCAGGAGGAACACCGGUGGCGAAGGCGGUUCUCUGGGCAUUACCUGACGCUGAGGAGCGAAAGUGUGGGGAGCGAAUGGG
rnacentral:rRNA from 1 species